UUGACCUCAAAUCAGU
rnacentral:rRNA from 2 species